rnacentral:pre_miRNA from 1 species
AAUUAAAAUUUUUAUUUAUUUUUACUAUUAAAAAUUGACGUAUUUAAUGAAAUAAUUAAACAAUUACACCUAUCGUAACACAUGUAUAUUACGUCAACAUACAUAUAUUAAUUUUUAAUAGUGGAAAUAAAUAAAUUUUUUAACA